UACGUAUGGGGCAAGCGUUAUCCGGAUUUACUGGGUGUAAAGGGCGUGUAGCCGGGCUGACAAGUCAGAUGUGAAAUUCCGGGGCUCAACCCCGGACCUGCAUUUGAAACUGUUGGUCUUGAGUAUCGGAGAGGCAGGCGGAAUUCCUAGUGUAGCGGUGAAAUGCGUAGAUAUUAGGAGGAACACCAGUGGCGAAGGCGGCCUGCUGGACGACAACUGACGGUGAGGCGCGAAAGCGUGGGGAGCAAACAGG
rnacentral:rRNA from 1 species